GGGCUCUAAAUUCCAUGACUGUUGCCCUUAAAACAAGAGGAGAAACACAGACACACAGAGGGAAGAGGGCCUUGUGACCAUGGAGGCACAGGCUGGUGUGACACAGCUACAAUUCAAGAAGAUCCCAAGGACUGCCAAGAGCCCCGAGCAGUUUGGAGGAGACUUUGUUGGUUUUCAAUAUGAGGAUCUAAAAGAAGAAAAGAAGUACAAGAAGAUUCUUGAGUAAAGUCCGUAAGUGAUGAGAAGAUAGGAGCACUGACAGUAUUAGCUUGGAGCAGAAUAAAUAAUAACUUUGGCCCCUCCAGAUAACUUGAACAAGAAAAAUCUAUACCUGUCAUCUCAAGACAAUGGGAUAAGAAGCAACCUAACCAAGGUCAUUCAGAAUUCCAUCAGCGCAGUUGCCUGCCCUAUACUGUAAUGAGUCACAGUCAGAACAUGAGGAUGGGAAUGUGAAGGAAAAACUGAAUUCUUGCCUGCUGUUUGGUGUAUCCGCGAAGAAUGCAAAGGAUGAAGAAGUGGAAGCUGUAAGAAUAUCCAUGAAUUUUUAAAUAUCAGGGCUGGGAGCAGAAACUCACGUAUGUAAUCCUAGCACUUUGGGAGGCCAAGGGAGGCGGACUACAAGGUCAGGAGUUUGAGACCAGCCUGUCCAACAUGGUGAUACCCCAUCACUAUGAAAAAUACAAAAAUUAGCCAGGUGUGGUGGCACAUGCCUGUAAUCCCCGCUACUCAGGAGGCUGAGGUAGGACAAUCACUUGAACCUGGGAGGCAGAGGUUGCAGUGAGCUGAGAUCAUGCCACUGCACUCCAGCCUGGGCAACAGAACAAGACUCCAUCUGAAAAAAAAAAAAAAUCAGAUUGUCUUCCCUCUGCUUUUUAGAAGGCAAAGAGGAAAAAAAGUUUCUUAGCCAACCAGAAGUAAGUUCAAUUAGAACUUUCUUAAUUAGAAUUGGAGAAGUAGCUCAAGAUAAACAAGGAAUAUUUUGUGGCAAGAAAAAAGAAAGCUACAGAUGAAUUUUGGUUAAUGAGGAGAAACCUAACAGAACUCAGGUGAUGGGUCCGUGCAAGGACCUCCAAAUGACCUUGCUAUGCUCAGUAAGCAGAGCAGUUAAGAAAGUCUGUGAAGCCUCUGAACUGGAGAAAAAAGAUAGGAUAUUGUUAAGAAAUGGUAGAGAGAAAACUGCAAACGCCUGGGCAGAGUUCAAUGAAGUCAAGCUGGGGUCAGCACAGCACCUCUGUGACUAUAAAUUAUCUCUUGGCAUCUAGAGUCUGACACUGUGGCUGAGUAGCUUCUACCCUAAAGGAGUAAAUUUCUUUGCGGAAAUUCAGGAGGAAGAUUUAGGCCUCCUGUUGUAAUCUUCAGAAGAGAAACACUUGAACUCCUGAAUGGUGGCAGCAGAAUAGGGUCAAGCAAAGAACGAAAGUAAAUGUUCUCUGUGCGGAGGCUAGAGGCUGGGUUAGUUACAACCGUGAGAGCGUGAAUGCAAAGCAUCAUCUUUGUGCAGGAAGACCUGCAUCUAAGGCAGAAAUAAGCUGUAAAAAACAAAGAAGGCAAAAAAGGAAAGAAAGCUGUUUGACUGCUCUCACUUCAUGUACUCUCAUGUAGCUUAAGAUCAAGAGAGCACUGUAUUUUAGUUACAAAAUACAUAAAAAUCGGAGUAGAUACUCUCAAACCACUCAUUUACAGUGCAGCUCCUUAAAAACAAUGCAGCCAUCAUGUGUGCUCCUAAUCAAAGACUUACGUGGAUAUUUACAGAAGCUGCAGUCUUUUUCAAACUACAUCUUAAGAAAUCCAAAACUGUGUGGCACCGUCUCUGGAGCCCCUGAGCUGUGAAGUAAGUUGGUGCGGGGGCGGGGCAGGGGGAAGGUGUGGAUGGUGAUGAGGGAGAGGGAAAUCAAACAAGCAGGGCUUCAAAUCCUCCUCUGCUUCUUAAAUCAGAAAAGCUUUGCUUUUAUCUGUUUUAUAAAACAGCGAUUCAUGUAAGAUUUCAGUUGAUAAAAGAUACUCUUGGUAAAGUGGGAAAAACAUAAGCAAGACUAGGUUUGAACUUUGUCACUUGCUAUCUACUUACUCUGUGACUUGGGAAAGUUACCUCUCUGAACCUUAGUUUCCUCUUCUAUACAAUGGGAAGAAUAAUAUUUACAAAUGGUUGUAUGAAUAACAUAAAGUAUGUAUAGCACAUACCAUGAGGCUUUAGCACAUAGCAGGCACUAGCUAGUAGUUCCUUUUCUGAAACACGUGAAAUAUAGAUACAGGAUAGACAGACAGGCAGAUGGGUUUGGGGUUUUUUGUUUUUUGGUUUUUUUUUCAUUUUUCAGACAGGAUCUUACUGUGCAGUGGCGCAAUUACUGCAGCCUUCUCCAGCUCGGGUGAUUUUCCUACCUCAGUCUCCUAACUAGCUGGGACUACCGGCAUAUGCCACUAAGCCUGGCUAAUUUUUUUUUAUUUUUAUAGAGACAAGGUCUCACUAUGUUGCCCAGGCUGGUCUCGAACUCCUGAACUCAAGAAAUACACCUGCUUUGGCCUCCAAAGUGCUGGGAUUACAGGCGUCAGCCACCGUGCUUGGCCAAUAGAUGCUUAA